AGAGUUUGAUCAUGGCUCAGGACGAACGCUGGCGGCGUGCUUAACACAUGCAAGUCAAGGGGGCCCAGCAAUGGGCAACCGGCGAACGGGUGCGUAACACGUGAGCAACCUACCGAACUGUGGGGGAUAGCCGGCCUAACGGCCGAGUAAUACCGCAUACGCUCUCAGAGAGGCAUUUUUUUGAGAGGAAACCUACGGGACAGAUCGAGGGGCUCGCGGCCUAUCAGCUAGUUGGCGAGGUAACGGCUCACCAAGGCAACGACGGGUAGCUGGUCUGAGAGGAUGGCCAGCCACAUUGGGACUGAGAUACGGCCCAGACUCCUACGGGAGGCAGCAGUGGGGAAUCUUGCGCAAUGGCCUAACGGCUGACGCAGCGACGCCGCGUGUGGGAUGAAGCUCCUCGGAGUGUAAACCACUGUUGCCCGGGACGAAUAGCUCGAUUAAUCGAGCCUGACGGUACCGGGUGAGGAAGCACCGGCUAACUCCGUGCCAGCAGCCGCGGUAAUACGGGGGGUGCGAGCGUUGUCCGGAAUCACUGGGCGUAAAGGGCGCGUAGGUGGUUUGAUAAGGGUGUGGUGAAAGUCCGGGGCUCAACCCCGGAUCUGCCGUGCCGACUGUCAAACUCGAGGGCUGUAGAGGCAGGCGGAAUUCCGGGUGUAGCGGUGGAAUGCGUAGAGAUCCGGAGGAAGACCGGUGGCGAAGGCGGCCUGCUGGGCAGUUUCUGACACUGAGGCGCGAAAGCUAGGGGAGCAAACAGGAUUAGAUACCCUAGUAGUCC
rnacentral:rRNA from 1 species